rnacentral:rRNA from 1 species
AUUCCUACGGGAAGCAGCAGUAGGGAAUCUUCCACAAUGGACGAAAGUCUGAUGGAGCAAUACCAUGUGAACGACGAAGGUCUUUUUGAUUGUAAAGUUCUUUUAUGAGGGAUAACAACUGAUAGUACCUCAUGAAUAAGUGACAGCAAACUAUGUGCCAGCAGCUGCGGUAAUACAUAGGUCGCAAGCAUUAUUCGGAUUUAUUGGGCGUAAAGCAAGCGCAGGCGGAUGUGUAAGUUCUGUGUUAAAAGUAGCUACUUAAUAG